CGGGCAGGCUAUACAUGCAAGUCGAACGGUAACAUUGGUGCUUGCACCAGAUGACGAGUGGCGCACGGGUGCGUAACGCGUAUGCAACCUACCUUUUACUAGAGUAUAGCCCAGAGAAAUUUGGAUUAAUCCUCUAUAACAUCUUUUAAUUUCAUGAUUUUAAGAUUAAAGUUUUAACGGUAAAAGAUGGGCAUGCGUCCUAUUAGUUUGUAGGUGAGGUAACGGCUCACCUAGACUACGAUAGGUAGGGGCCCUGAGAGGGGGAUCCCCCACACUGGUACUGAGACACGGACCAGACUCCUACGGGAGGCAGCAGUAAGGAAUAUUGGACAAUGGACGAAAGUCUGAUCCAGCCAUGCCGCGUGCAGGAUGACAGCCCUACGGGUUGUAAACUGCUUUUAUACAGGAAGAAACACUCCGACGUGUCGGAGCUUGACGGUACUGUAAGAAUAAGGAUCGGCUAACUCCGUGCCAGCAGCCGCGGUAAUACGGAGGAUCCAAGCGUUAUCCGGAAUCAUUGGGUUUAAAGGGUCCGCAGGCUGUUUUUUAAGUCAGAGGUGAAAUCCUACAGCUCAACUGUAGAACUGCCUUUGAUACUGGAAAACUUGAGUUAUUGUGAAGUGGUUAGAAUGUGUGGUGUAGCGGUGAAAUGCAUAGAUAUCACACAGAAUACCGAUUGCGAAGGCAGAUCACUAACAAUAUACUGACGCUCAUGGACGAAAGCGUGGGGAGCGAACAGGAUUAGAUACCCUGGUAGUCCACGCCGUAAACGAUGGAUACUAGCUGUUCGUCUAACAUUG
rnacentral:rRNA from 1 species